rnacentral:rRNA from 1 species
AUUGAACGCUGGCGGCAUGCCUUACACAUGCAAGUCGAACGGCAGCACGGGAGCAAUCCUGGUGGCGAGUGGCGAACGGGUGAGUAAUGUAUCGGAACGUGCCCAGUCGUGGGGGAUAACGUAGCGAAAGCUACGCUAAUACCGCAUACGAUCUAUGGAUGAAAGCGGGGGAUCGCAAGAACUCGCGCGAUUGGAGCGGCCGAUAUCAGAUUAGGUAGUUGGUGGGGUAAAGGCUCACCAAGCCGACGAUCUGUAGCUGGUCUGAGAGGACGACCAGCCACACUGGAACUGAGACACGGUCCAGACUCCUACGGGAGGCAGCAGUGGGGAAUUUUGGACAAUGGGCGAAAGCCUGAUCCAGCCAUUCCGCGUGCAGGAUGAAGGCCCUCGGGUUGUAAACUGCUUUUGUACAGAACGAAAAGGUUUCUACUAAUACUAGGAGCUCAUGACGGUACUGUAAGAAUAAGCACCGGCUAACUACGUGCCAGCCGCCGCCGUAA